UACGUAGGGUGCGAGCGUUGUCCGGAAUUAUUGGGCGUAAAGAGCUCGUAGGCGGUUUGUCGCGUCGGCCGUGAAAUCUCCACGCUUAACGUGGAGCGUGCGGUCGAUACGGGCAGACUUGAGUUCGGUAGGGGAGACUGGAAGUUCCUGGAUGUAGCGGUGAAAUGCGCAGAUAUCAGGAAGAACACCAAUGGCGAAGGCAGCUCUCUGGGACGGUACUGACGCUGAGACGCGAAAGCGUGGGGAGCGAACAGG
rnacentral:rRNA from 1 species